GAUGAACGCUAGCUACAGGCUUAACACAUGCAAGUCGAGGGACCGGCGCACGGGUGAGUCACGCGUAUCCAACCUACCCAUACGUAUGGUAUAACGCGCAGAAAUGCGGACUAAUCCCCUAUGCUUAGGGCUGGGGAUGCGUCUGAUUAGCUUGUUGGUGAGGUAACGGCUCACCCAGGCUUCGAUCGGUAGGGGUUCUGAAAGGAAGUCCCCCCCCAUAGGAACUGAGCCACGGCCCUAACUCCUACUGUAGGCAUCCGUGCGGCAUAUUGGUCAAUGGGCGAGAGCCUGAACCGGCCUAGUAGCAUGCAGGAUGACGGCCUAUGGGUUGUAAACUGCUUUGAUGCGGGGAUAGUUACCGCAUCAAUAAGGACCGGCUAAUUCCGUGCCAGCAGCCGCGGUAAUAC
rnacentral:rRNA from 1 species